rnacentral:lncRNA from 1 species
AAAGCAAGGGGUUUUCCUGUCCAUGGACUCAUUCAUAUUUCCCUGAUUUUGGAACUAUGUGCCAAGAACUUUGACAGUGAGAGAUGUGAGUGGUAUUCAUUGGUGGGAAUGGAUGGGUGGAAGGACUGAGAGGUUAGUAUUAACCAUCAAGAUGUUUGCAGAGCAAUGCAUACAUCCCUGAUCUGUAUUGGUCAACAUGUUGGAAGGCACAGGACGCUCAAAGCUCUACGCAGGGUAAGACAGAGGCCAGAGGAGGGAGCAGAAGUCACACCUGGAUGGAGCAGGCAGGAUGUCCCCACAGGGAGCGCUGAAGGCAGAGCUUGGCCCAGUCUUCCAUCACUUAUGGAAACAAUUGCCUGGAUUAAAGGCCCUCUACUUAAAAUACCAAGUGGCCGAGAGCAGGAGAGCAGUGGUUCACGCCUAUAAUCCCAGCACUUCAGGAGGUCUAGGCGAGAGGAUCCCCUGAACUCAGUAGUUCAAGAUCAGCUUCAGCAACAUAGUGAGACCUCGUCUCUACUAAAAAUUAAAGAAAAAACAAGCUGUGCAAGGUGGCAAGCGCCUUUAGUCCCAGCUGCUCAAGAGGCUGAGGUGAAGAUUGCUUGAGCCCAGGAGUUUGCAGUGAGUAAUGAUGGCAGCCAGCUUAGGUGACAGAGCAAGACCCUGUCUUCGAAUAAAUAAAAUAUCCAAGUGGUUUCCAUUUUCUGAUUAGAGGCUGACUAAUGCAAUGAAAUUUUCAUAUCACAUGUUAAGACUUCUGUAUUAAUUUAGAAAUAAUGUUUUUUCCAUUUCCAUUUGUUCAAUGUCUUCAUAUUGUUUUUGUCCUUAAUAUAAAUCAUUUGUUUGUCAUCUAACUCAGUGUUUCACAAUACAGCAUGUUUAGAGAAAGAAUUUUUGGAAUUGAUCUAUAGUGUUUCCACAGGUAGUCUUAUCUUAAACCCAAAGGACUAUUUUUAUAAUAUUAAAAUGUAUUUCCAUUCACCCUGCUGAUGUAUUUUUUGUGAUUGCUACAAUAUUGUCUUACCGUAUUUUUUAAGAUUGCCUGUAUUGAAAUAAUGUAAUUUAAUUUAUAUAAAAUAAAAGACAAACAUUUUAAGUGUACAGUUUGCUGAACUUUGACAAAUCCAGACACUUCUGUAGCCACCGACACAAUCGACAAAUAGAAAACCUUCAUGAUCUCCACAGUUCCCUCAAGCCCACUUGUGGUCAAUCCCAUCUUUGGGCCCAGCUGACUACUUGUUUGCUUUCUGUCACUCCAAAUUAGCUUCUUCUUUUCUAAAAUAUCAUAUAAAUGGCAUCCUAUGUAUGUUUUCUUAGUGUCUGGCUUCUUUCUCUCAGCCCAAUAAUUUUGAAAUCUAGUCACACUAUGUGUAUUAGUACAUUAUUUUUGUUCUUACUUAGUAGAAUCCAUCAUAUGGAUUAAGUGAAAUGUGUCUAUUUAUUUUGGUGAAUAUUUGAGUGUUUCCAGUUUGAGCAAUUAUGAAU